AUGCGCGCGAGAGCUACUGGUGUCCUUGCAGGCCCGGGUGUCAGAGCCCCCUGGGGUUGGAGGUAUAGGCGCUUCUGAGAGCCUGAGGGAGAUGCUACGAACAGAACUCAGACCUUCUGCAAAAAACGCAUGGUCUCAUUCAGAACUCCAAGCUGGCCUUGAAUUCAGUGAUCGGCCUGCCCCCACCUCUCAAAUGCUGGCGUUACAGUCAUGAGUCACCAGUCUGUGAGAUCACUGGGAGUCUCAUUUUGACAUGUCCUAAGCUCCUGUGUGCUCUGAACUCCCAGCCCAUCCUCCCUCAAACCUACCCAAUGUCAAGAAGUGAACAGCGCAACAAGUGGGACAGCCUCAGCCAUGCCCUGCAUCUGCUCAGUGUGCCCUGCCUGCCAAAGAGGAAAUGCUAUCCCAGGUACAGGACCAAGAAUGGUGGCAGUGGAAUGUUAUACUGCUGGACCACAGAGGAGGCAGAAAACACCAAGGAAACUCCAAAAAAAUCAGAGGGGAAGGAGGAACAUGGCUGAUUCUACUUAUUUGACACAUCCCGCAAACUGAAAAGACAAAGGCGGGGUGCGAAAUGUGGAUGACUACCGGGAAGACCUGACUCCACAGUGAUUAUCUAUCAAAAAGAGAGCAGAGGAGAAAAGGCAGACAGAAGAUAUUUGGAAAGAAGAAAUGCAAGAAGGGCUGCAGAGACUUGAGGGGCACACGGGCCAAGUGCCACCCACAAGUUUCAUCUGACUGCAGGGGACGGAAAGAACAAGCCACUGCUGAGUGCGUGGGGGACCUGUUUCUGCCUCCGCAUGCGACCCUGUGGGCAGAGUUCUUAGAGUUAAACAAUAAACUACAAAAUAACUGCA